rnacentral:rRNA from 1 species
AUACCAGACUCCUACGGGAGGCAGCAGCGGGGAAUCUUCCGCAAUGGGCGCAAGCCUGACCCAGCAACGCCGCGUGAAGGAAGAAGGCUUUCGGGUUGUAAACUUCUUUUCUCAGGGACGAAGAAAGUGACGGUACCUGAGGAAUAAGCCACGGCUAACUACGUGCCAGCAGCCGCGGUAAUACGUAGGUGGCAAGCGUUAUCCGGAUUUACUGGGUGUAAAGGGCGUGUAGGCGGGACUGCAAGUCAGAUGUGAAAACCACGGGCUCAACCUGUGGCCUGCAUUUGAAACUGUAGUUCUUGAGUACUGGAGAGGCAGACGGAAUUCCUAGUGUAGCGGUGAAAUGCGUAGAUAUUAGGAGGAACACCAGUGGCGAAGGCGGUCUGCUGGACAGCAACUGACGCUGAGGCGCGAAAGCGUGGGGAGCAAACAGGAUUAGAUACCCGGGUAAUC